GGGGGUAUAGCUCAGGGAUAGAGCAUGUGCUUGGCGUGCACAAGGUCCUGGGUUAAAUCCCCAGUGCCUCCA
rnacentral:tRNA from 1 species